AUACCUUUCUCGGCCUUUUGGCUAAGAUCAAGUGUAGCUGUUCUUAUCAGUUUAAUAUCUGAUAUAUGAGGUCCGCCUCAUAAUGAUAUUAAUUUUUUUUGUGGGAGAUGAUCUCGAUAAUGGUUUGCCAUUAGAGUUCUCAGUCGUCGCUCAAGCGUUGCACUACAGAUUGGGCUUGGCGCACCCCAA